ensembl:snoRNA
UGGAGAUGGCCAGGAUGGUGUAAGUCAGAAUGUCUGAACCGGGCGGAAGUUUUGCUGAUGAACCCUUUAUGGCUCUGAGGCUUCUCUGGUG